rnacentral:rRNA from 1 species
AGAGUUUGAUCCUGGCUCAGGACGAACGCUGGCGGCGUGCCUAAUACAUGCAAGUCGAACGAGAAUUUCUUACACCGAGUGCUUGCACUCACCGUAAGAAAUUCGAGUGGCGGACGGGUGAGUAACACGUGGGUAACCUGCCCAAAAGAAGGGGAUAACAUUUGGAAACAAACGCUAAUACCGUAUAACCAUGAUGACCGCAUGGUCAUUAUGUAAAAGGUGGUUCUGCUAUCGCUUUUGGAUGGACCCGCGGCGUAUUAACUAGUUGGUAGGGUAACGGCCUACCAAGGUGAUGAUACGUAGCCGAGUUGAGAGACUGAUCGGCCACAAUGGGACUGAGACACGGCCCAUACUCCUACGGGAGGCAGCAGUAGGGAAUCUUCCACAAUGGGCGCAAGCCUGAUGGAGCAACGCCGCGUGAAUGAAGAAGGUCUUCGGAUCGUAAAAUUCUGUUGUUAGAGAAGAGUAUGAGUAAUAGUAACUGAUUAUUCACUGACGGUAUCUAACCAGCAAGUCACGGCUAACUACGUGCCAGCAGCCGCGGUAAUACGUAGGUGGCAAGCGUUGUCCGG